rnacentral:tRNA from 2 species
ACGUUAUUAGUAUAAUUAUUAUACUACUUUUCCAAAGUAGUGAUCUAUGUGUUUAGAUAGCGUA